GAGGGUGACAGGUGGUGCAUGGUUGUCGUCAGCUCGUGUCGUGAGAUGUUGGGUUAAGUCCCGCAACGAGCGCAACCCUCGCCUCUAGUUGCCAGCAUUCGGUUGGGCACUCUAGAGGGACUGCCGGCGACAAGUCGGAGGAAGGUGGGGAUGACGUCAAAUCAUCAUGCCCCUUAUGACCUGGGCUACACACGUGCUACAAUGGGCGGUACAAAGGGCUGCGAACCCGCGAGGGGGAGCGAAUCCCAAAAAGCCGCUCUCAGUUCGGAUUGCAGGCUGCAACUCGCCUGCAUGAAGCCGGAAUCGCUAGUAAUCGCGGAUCAGCAUGCCGCGGUGAAUACGUUCCCGGGCCUU
rnacentral:rRNA from 1 species